GACGAACCUGACGAACGUUAUUCGGAAUUACUGGGCUUAAAGGGUGCGUAGGCGGCGCGGAAAGUUGGGCGUGAAAUCCCCCGGCUCAACCGGGGAACUGCGUUCAAAACUACCGUGCUCGAGGGAGACAGAGGUGAGCGGAACUUAGGGUGGAGCGGUGAAAUGCGUUGAUAUCCUAAGGAACACCAGUGGCGAAAGCGGCUCACUGGGUCUCUUCUGACGCUGAUGCACGAAAGCCAGGGGAGCGAACGGG
rnacentral:rRNA from 1 species